UGGCCUGGUGGUAUGCUUUACACAUGCAGUCGAACGAAAGCUUUAGCUUUAGUGGCGAACGGGUGAGUAACACGUAAGAAUCUACCUUUAGGAGGGAAAUAACAAUUGGAAACAUUUGCUAAUAUCCCAUAAGCUGAAAAGUAAAAUAUUUUUUGCCUAAAGAUGAGCUUGCGCCUGAUUAGCUAGUUGGUGAGGUAAUGGCUUACCAAGGCCACGAUCAGUAGCUGGUUUGAGAGGAUGAUCAGCCACAUUGGAACUGAGACACGGUCCAGACUUUUACGGAAGGCAGCAGUGGGGAAUUUUCCGCAAUGGGCGCAAGCCUGACGGAGCAAUACCGCGUGAAGGAUGAAUGCCUGUGGGUUGUAAACUUCUUUUAUUAGGGAAGAAAAAAAUGACGGUACCUAAUGAAUAAGCAUCGGCUAACUCCGUGCCAGCAGCCGCGGUAAUACGGGGGAUGCAAGCGUUAUCCGGAAUCAUUGGGCGUAAAGAGUCUGUAGGUUGUUUAGUAAGUCUGCUGUUAAAUGUUAGAGCUUAACUCUAAAAAAGCAGUGGAAACUACUAAACUAGAGUGUGGUAGAGGCAAAGGGAAUUCCCAGUGUAGCGGUGAAAUGCGUAGAUAUUGGGAAGAACACCAGAGCGAAAGCGCUUUGCUGGGCCAUCACUGGCACUAAGAGACGAAAGCUAGGGGAGCAAAUGGGAUUAGAUACCCCAGUAGUCCUAGCCGUAAACGAUGGAUACUAGAUGUUGCGCGUAUCGAUCCGUGCAGUAUCGUAGCUAACGCGUUAAGUAUCCCGCCUGGGAAGUACGCUCGCAAGAGUGAAACUCAAAUGAAUUUGACGG
rnacentral:rRNA from 1 species